rnacentral:misc_RNA from 1 species
GUCUCUUCUCAAUCAAAUACUUUCCUCCAUGCAAUAGAUUCAAAGAAAAUUAAAGGCCUAACUUUUAGUAUUGUUUUGUUGACCUCAUACACCAACUUGAUAAAAACUGCUGGUAGCUUAAUUGAUUAGCUUCAGGAGAUUAGAUUAGAUUGAAUUUGUACGAGCUAGGGAGCAAGAAGAAUUUUUGUAUAUUCUUGAAAACCAUGGGAAGAAUUCGGUAGAGGUUCCGUCCUGUACUUGCAAUUGGAAACACUGAGCAGAAUUCGUG